rnacentral:rRNA from 1 species
UUCGCAAUGCCCGAAAGGGUGACGAAGCGACGCCGCGUGUGGGAAGAAGGCCUUCGGGUUGUAAACCACUGUCGGGAGUUAAGAAGUGUAGUGGAGCGAAUAGCGCCUCUACUUGACUAAGGCUCCAGAGGAAGCCACGGCUAACUCUGUGCCAGCAGCCGCGGUAAUACAGAGGUGGCAAGCGUUGUUCGGAAUUAUUGGGCGUAAAGAGCACGUAGGCGGUUCUGCAAGUCGGCUGUGAAAGCCUUCCGCUCAACGGAAGAACAGCAGUUGAUACUACAGGACUAGAGUGCGGGAGGGGAGAGUGGAACUUCUGGUGGAGCGGUGAAAUGCGUAGAUAUCAGAAGGAACGCCGGCGGCGAAAGCGACUCUCUGGCCCGUAACUGACGCUGAGUGUGCGAAAGCUAGGGGAGCAAACGGGAUUAGAUACCCCGGUAGUCCUAGCCGUAAACGAUGGGCACUAAGUAGAGGGGUUUU